GACCUAUGACAUGAAAAAGGCUAACUUGAGACAUGAGAGAAGAAAGCAGCAGCAACGUUGUUCUUCCCACAAGACAGCAACAUUCUUAAAACUUGGGUGGUGGUAACCACAAACACAAACCACUUCUUCAACCAAAACAAACCCAAUUUGUGUCGAAUUCAUGCCAUGCCAAAAUGUUCAACAUUUCCCAAAACCCUUCUCAAACACUCUCUUCACCUAAAACCCCAAACCCUAACCCUAACCUUUCUCUCUUACUCUUCCUCCAAUCUCCCCCAUACCCAUCACUCCCUUCCACCUCAAAUCUUCAAAUCACCCUCCAACACCUCUUCUCACAAAUGGGGUUCUUACAAAUUGGGCGAUUUAUCCUUCUACUCCCUCAUCGAAAAUUUCUCCAAUUCCUUAGAUUUCACCUCCUUGGAACAACUCCUUCAUCAAAUGAAGUGUGAAAAUCGAGUCUUUAUCGAAAAAAGCUUCAUUAUCAUGUUCAAAGCUUAUGGAAAAGCACAUUUACCUCAAAAAGCUUUGGACUUGUUUCAUAGAAUGGGAGCUGAGUUUCACUGUAAGCAAACUGUUAAAUCUUUUAACACUGUUCUUAAUGUUGUUAUUCAAGAGGGUUGUUUUGAUCUUGCUUUAGAGUUUUAUAACCAUGUUAUUGAUUCCAAUAGUUUUAGUAAUAUUCAACCAAAUGGGCUUAGUUUUAAUUUGGUGAUUAAGGCUUUGUGUAGAGUUGGAAAUGUUGAUCAAGCUGUUGAGGUUUUUAGAGGGAUGAGUGAUAGGAAUUGUGUUGCUGAUGGUUAUACUUAUUCGACGUUGAUGCAUGGUUUGUGCAAUGAGGGGAGGAUUGAUGAGGCGGUUUCGUUGUUGGAUGAGAUGCAGGUUGAAGGCACGUUUCCGAAUCCGGUUGCGUUUAAUGUUUUGAUUAGUGCAUUGUGUAAGAAAGGUGAUUUGUCGCGUGCGUCGAAGCUGGUUGAUAAUAUGUUUCUUAAGGGUUGUGUUCCGAAUGAAGUGACGUAUAAUUCGCUUGUUCAUGGUUUGUGUCUUAAGGGUAAGUUGGAUAAGGCGAUGAGUCUUUUGAAUCGGAUGGUGGCGAAUAAAUGUGUGCCUAAUGAUAUUACUUUUGGAACACUUGUUGAUGGGUUUGUUAAGCAUGGUAGGGCUUUGGAUGGGGUGCGUGUUUUGGUUUCGUUGGAAGAGAAGGGUUAUCGUGGGAAUGAGUUUAGUUACUCGUCUCUUAUUAGUGGAUUGUUCAAGGAGGGGAAAGGCGAGCAUGGAAUGCAGUUGUGGAAGGAAAUGGUUGAAAAAGGAUGUAAACCAAAUACUAUAGUGUAUAGUGCUCUUAUAGAUGGUCUUUGUCGAGAAGGGAAACCAGAUGAAGCGAAAGAAUACUUAAUAGAGAUGAAGAAUAAAGGACACACUCCCAAUUCUUUCACUUACAGUUCCUUGAUGUGGGGUUACUUUGAAGCAGGUGAUAUUCAUAAAGCUAUUCUUGUUUGGAAAGAGAUGACAGACAAUGAUUGUAAUCAUCACGAGGUUUGUUACAGUAUACUUAUUAAUGGAUUGUGUAAAAACGGGAAGCUUAAGGAGGCCUUAAUCGUGUGGAAACAAAUGUUGAGUAGAGGAAUCAAAUUAGAUGUUGUGGCUUAUAGUUCAAUGAUUCAUGGCUUUUGUAAUGCUCAGUUAGUAGAACAAGGUAUGAAACUUUUCAAUCAGAUGCUUUGUCACAAUCCGAAGUUACAACCAGAUGUGGUUACAUACAACAUACUCCUCAAUGCUUUUUGCACAAAGAAUAGUGUCUCCCGCGCUAUUGAUAUUCUAAAUACUAUGUUAGAUCAAGGUUGUGAUCCUGAUUUUAUUACUUGCGAUAUUUUCCUAAAAACUUUACGAGACAAUAUGGACCCGCCUCAAGAUGGGAGGGAGUUUCUAGACGAGCUUGUAGUCCGAUUAAUUAAGCGACAGAGAACAGUUGGUGCUUCCAAUAUUAUAGAAGUGAUGCUUCAGAAAUUUUUGCUGCCUAAACCUUCUACUUGGGCCUUAGCUGUUCAACAGCUCUGCAAACCUAUGAAAGUUCGAAAAACCAUCAGCGAAUGUCAGAGCAGGAUGUGUUGCUGAUAUCGUGUAAGAUGUGUUGUUGAAUAAGAAUUUCUUGAAGCUAAGAAAAUGCCGAUACAGGAAUUUAUUGAUCCAGAUCCUCAAACACAAGAUCACAAACUUUCGAAGUUUAUAUGCAAUUAAAUGUGUUUGAUACAGAACUUUCCUUCUUUUGCCUGCUUGGAGAUAUCAGCAUAUGCGCAGGAUUGAUGCCAAACAGGUGAAAGAUGAGAAUACUACCACUUAACCGAUGAAACAGUUUAAACCACUUUCCGUCAUUGCAAAGUCACUAGAAUAAUUUGCUUUUCUGUCUAAAAUAUGUACACUUUGCAACUUACAAUGGUGAGAACUGAGUAUUAAAAGGAUCAAGUGUUCAACAUUCAAUCAACUUUGAUCUAUAAGAGUGAGUGGAUUUCAACAGGGCUCAGUCAAAGUAAUUGGUUGUAUAUGUACACUCUGUGAGCUGGUAAGUGGUUGUAUGUGUACACUAUCAACAGUUGGCCAGUAAAUGAUUUCAUACAAUUUGCAAGUAUUAUGCAGAUUGCAUCUUGUUAGGCAAAUGAAAGUCAAUAAUGAUGAACUGGUUUAUAGGAUUGCUACCAGAUGCGAACGAACAUAAGUGAAAAGGAAAAGAAUACAAAACUCAUCUUCUGAUUAUAUCUGUCCCUCAGAUUCAGAAAAAGAUGCAAAUUCCAUAGUUGACUCUUAUUAUUACAGCCGAGUAUACAAAUUGGGUGGAAAUUUGGGGGACUGAUUGAUAAAACAGAUAGUCAAGGGUCAGCAAUUGUUGUCUAUUCAAUUAUUUCAUGUACAAAUGAAAUUUCAUAAACUUCCUCCAUUCCAUUGUUGGAUUAUCAAUGGUUUGUGGAGAAUUACAAAAAGGGGACUAGCUUUGAAGAGUUGAACCAAUGGCUUCUUUAGGCGAGAUGACAGUGUCAAGUAACGCAUUGGUUUGGUAAAAAAGAAAAAGGGAAAGCAUUUGGUUGAAGGUGUGAAUUUGUAAAGGAUUUGUUCAUAUGGAUAAUUGAAAUUUUUUAUCGACACAUUCUUUCCAACACACUUUCUUAGUUGUAAUUAUAUAAUCUCGACACAAUUAUGUGAGACUGACAU